rnacentral:rRNA from 1 species
CAGUCGCCGCGGUAGGACAGAGGGUGCAAACGUUGUUCGGAAUUACUGGGCGUAAAGCGUGUGUAGGCGGCUUCGCAAGUCGGAUGUGAAAGCCCCGGGCUCAACCCGGGAAGUGCACUCGAUACUGCGGAGCUAGAGUGUCGGAGAGGUUGGUGGAAUUCUCGGUGUAGAGGUGAAAUUCGUAGAUAUCGAGAGGAACACCGGUGGCGAAGGCGGCCAACUGGACGAACACUGACGCUGAGACACGAAAGCGUGGGGAGCAAACAGGAUUAGAUACCCCUGUAGUCCCUGUCUCUUAUAC